CAGGGUGUAGCCAAGAUAGUUAAAGCAUCUCCCUUACACUGAGAAGUCACCCGUGCAACUCGGGUCGCCCUGA
rnacentral:tRNA from 1 species